GACGAACGCUGGCGGCGUGCUUAACACAUGCAAGUCGAACGGGGAAAGGAGAGCUUGCUCUUCUGGCUCAGUGGCGAACGGGUGAGUAACACGUGAGUAACCUGCCCCAGACUCUGGAAUAAGCACUGGAAGCGGCGUCUAAUACCGGAUACGUAACAGAGCUGCAUGGCUACUGUCUGGAAAGUUUUUCGGUAUGGGAUGGGCUCGCGGCCUAUCAGCUUGUUGGUGAGGAAACGGAUCACCAAGGCAACGACCGGUAGCGGGCCUGAGGGGGCGACAGGCCACACUGGGACUGAGACACGGCCCAGACUCCUACGGGAGGCAGCAGUGGGGAAUAUUGCACUAUGGGCGAAAGCCUGAUGCAGCGACGCCGCGUGAGGGAUGACGGCCUUCGGGUUGUAAACCUCUUUCAGCAGGGAAGAAGCGAAAGUGACGGUACCUGCAGAAGAAGCACCGGCUAACUACGUG
rnacentral:rRNA from 1 species